UAUACAACGAACCAGUCGAAAGAACUAUUACGGUACUAUUGACCUCAAUGGGUGUUGAUAUUCUUCGGCCGAGGUUCUUCGAAUGAUCUUGACGACCUUGAUUGACUUGACCCUAGAAUAUCAAGUUUAUUUUUUACAACAAUCGUGUGCUAUAUAAGAUUUUGCAUCAGCAGAGGCAUUAAUAAGCUUUCCGGUGCAUCCGACGAUCUCAAGAGAUACAGAACCGCCAAAUUUACCUGCUGCUGUUUUUAAUAUAUUUUGGGGUGCUCCAAGGGAAACCCUUGGAAAACUUGGACACUCUUAUCAACUAUGAUGUCAACCUGGACUUGCCCGACGGAUUCCAUUACAGUUUUCGAACAAAUAAAGGUGCUAGUGCAAAAGUGAGAGGGAUAGUGCUGGCCAAAGAUGAUCUGACAAUAGAAGGAAGCUAUGGCUUCAUAACUGACGGAUCCAGUGUUCAAGUGUCUUAUGAAGCUGACGAAAAUGGCUUUAGGCCACACGUGGUGCAAACGAAUUUACCUGAGACGACCCCUGUUGACAAAAGCAUGAGCAGGCCAGAAGUUAUUAUUGGCACUGCUUGUUUGGCUUCUUUGAGUGGUGGAGGUUGUGGUUGAACUGCAUUUAGUAAAUAUAUUUAUCUUAAAAUC
rnacentral:misc_RNA from 1 species